ensembl:lncRNA TMEM198B transmembrane protein 198B (pseudogene)
ACAAACACAAACACACACCCCAACACACACGCCCUGUCCCCUUUCUCCACCCUGCAAGCUAGUUGCAUUUAGCUCACAGAGCCUGGGCUGCGACUUGAAAGAGUUUAGGCAGCAACAGAGUGACCCUGGGGGUGCUCUUGACCGACAGCCGCACCCCCGGCGUCUAGGACCUCCGAGCAGGGAUGCAUCUGGAGGUCUAGGGAAGCACUUCCACCCCCUCCUCUCCUCAAUCCUGGCAGGAUGGUGAGUAGUUAACAUCCCCUCCCCAACCCCCGCUUGUCCAGGGUCCCCAGACUUCCAAGCAGAUUGAGGAGAGGAGCUCCGAGAGUCAACCCUCCAGCCUGUAAGGACCUUGAUAUCCAAAGGACAGCUGAAGAAAGUAAUGUGCCUGCAUUUUUGCCACUUCAUUCCCACAGUGCCCGAAAUGCCAGCUCCUCCUUGGUGUUCUCCUUUCAGGAUUUGAAUUCAAAUCCCAUUGGCAGCCCUGAUACCGCUGGGGGAAGGGUGAGGCUACUGCUGCUUCAAGACAGUGACGUUUCUCUCCGGUCAGCUGUCAGGAGCGCUGGUGAGCU